CCUACGGGAGGCUGCAGUGAGGAAUAUUGGUCAAUGGGCGCGAGCCUGAACCAGCCAAGUAGCGUGAAGGAUGACUGCCCUACGGGUUGUAAACUUCUUUUAUAAAGGAAUAAAGUGAGGCUCGUGUGCCUUUUUUUAUGUACUUUAUGAAUAAGGAUCGGCUAACUCCGUGCCAGCAGCCGCGGUAAUACGGAGGAUCCGAGCGUUAUCCGGGUUUUUUUGGUUUAAAGGGAGCCUUGAUGGGGUGUUAAGUCAGUUGUUAAAGUUUGCGGGUCAACCGUAAAAUUGCAAUUGAUACUGGCAGUCUUGAGUACAGUUGAGGUAUGCGGAAUUCGUGGUGUAGCGGUGAAAUGCUUAGAUAUCACGAAGAACUCCGAUUGCGAAGGCAGCUUACUAAACUGCCACUGACAUUGAUGCUCGAAAGUGUGGGUAUCAAACAGGAUUAGAUACCCCUGUAGUC
rnacentral:rRNA from 1 species